GAGGGCAGCGUGGGUGUGGCGGAGUCAGGCGUGACCGUGUGCUGCCCUCUCGCUGCUCUAG
rnacentral:miRNA from 1 species